rnacentral:rRNA from 1 species
UAGCGUUGUUCGGAAUUACUGGGCGUAAAGCGCACGUAGGCGGCUUGGUAAGUUAGAGGUGAAAGCCUGGAGCUCAACUCCAGAAUUGCCUUUAAGACUGCCGAGCUAGCAGGUGAGAGAGGUGAGUGGAAUUCCGAGUGUAGAGGUGAAAUUCGUAGAUAUUCGGAAGAACACCAGUGGCGAAGGCGGCUCACUGGCCCGGUACUGACACUGAGAUGCGAAAGCGUGGGGAGCAAACAGG